GAGUGAGCGGCUAAGCCCAGGAGCUAUCAGGGCUUAUAGAGAGAGCUUUAAACUAGGUUUGAAGGGGGAAGGGGAUAACACCAGGCUCACUAGACAUAAGCCAUGGGGUAGCGUGCCGCUGCUGGAGUCCAGAUCCACAGG